CGGAACUUGGCAGAGAUGCCUUGGUGCCUUCGGGAACCGAGAGACAGGUGCUGCAUGGCUGUCGUCAGCUCGUGUCGUGAGAUGUUGGGUUAAGUCCCGUAACGAGCGCAACCCUUGUCCUUAGUUGCCAGCGCGUAAUGGCGGGAACUCUAAGGAGACUGCCGGUGACAAACCGGUGGAAGGUGGGGACGACGUCAAGUCAUCAUGGCCCUUACGACCUGGGCUACACACGUGCUACAAUGGAACGCACAGAGGGUUGCAACCUCGCGAGAGUGAGCCAAUCCCACAAAACGUUUCGUAGUCCGGAUCGGAGUCUGCAACUCGACUCCGUGAAGUCGGAAUCGCUAGUAAUCGCGGAUCAGAAUGCCGCGGUGAAUACGUUCCCGGGCCUUGUACACACCGCCCGUCACACCAUGGGAGUGGGUUGCUCCAGAAGUGGUUAGCCUAACCUNNGGGGNGNCNACCA
rnacentral:rRNA from 1 species